UACGGGGGGGGCAAGCGUUGUUCGGAAUUACUGGGCGUAAAGGGCUCGUAGGUGGCCAACUAAGUCAGACGUGAAAUCCCUCGGCUUAACCGGGGAACUGCGUCUGAUACUGGAUGGCUUGAGUUCGGGAGAGGGAUGCGGAAUUCCAGGUGUAGCGGUGAAAUGCGUAGAUAUUGGGAGGAACACCAGUGGCGAAGGCGGCUCACUGGACCGGAACUGACGCUGAGGCGCGAAAGCGUGGGGAGCAAACAGG
rnacentral:rRNA from 1 species